rnacentral:tRNA from 1 species
GCCUGGCUGGCUCAGUCGGAAGAGCACGUGACUCUUGAUCUCGGGGUCGUGAGUUACAAGUCCCAUGUGGGGUG